AAACAGGAAGGUCUUAGUGUCAUUGUAUUGGCUCGGGGUGAGGGUUCUAAACAGGAAGGUCUUUGUGUCAUUGUAUUGGCUCGGGGUGAGGGUUCUAAACAGGAAGGUCUUAGUGUCAUUGUAUUGGCUCGGGGUGAGUGUUCUAAACAGGAAGGUCUUUGUAUCAUUGUAUUGGCUCGGGGUGAGUGUUCUAAACAGGAAGGUCUUAGUAUCAUUGUAUUGGCUCGGGGUGAGGGUUCUAAGCAGGAAGGUCUUUGUAUCAUUGUAUUGGCUCGGGGUGAGGGUUCUAAACAGGAAGGUCUUUGUGUCAUUGUAUUGGCUUGGGGUGAGUGUUCUAAACAGGAAGGUCUUUGUAUCAUUGUAUUGGCUCGGGGUGAGUGUUCUAAACAGGAAGGUCUUAGUAUCAUUGUAUUGGCUCGGGGUGAGGGUUCUAAGCAGGAAGGUCUUUGUAUCAUUGUAUUGGCUCGGGGUGAGGGUUCUAAACAGGAAGGUCUUUGUGUCAUUGUAUUGGCUUGGGGUGAGGGUUCUAAACAGGAAGGUCUUUGUAUGGAUUGUAUUGGCUCGGGGUGAGGGUUCUAAACAGGAAGGGGUGGUGAUUUCUCCUGUAUUCUCUUCUUUCAGUGGGUUGCCUAAACCCCACCCCAUAGGCCCCUAUAUUCAAAUAAUGAAGAAAAACUGAGAUGGUAUGACAUGGUGUAAUAAUCACAAGAUCAUAAAGUCAGAGGCUUGUCAUAAUUAUUACACGGUUUGAUAACGCCAGAGGAAAUGAGCCCCUGGCCAUAGUUGUAAUGAGUACGCUGAGAGUCGGGAAGCAAGUUCAGGGAGUGAAUAAAUGUAAUAAAUAAAUGAACAAAACAAGAAACACAAACAGC
rnacentral:lncRNA from 1 species